rnacentral:rRNA from 1 species
CAUUUAGCUUGCUAGAUGGGAAAGUGGCGCACGGGUGCGUAACGCGUAUGCAACCUACCUUAAUCAGGGGGAUAGCCCGAAGAAAUUCGGAUUAACACCGCAUAAAAUCACAGUACAGCAUUGUACAAUGAUCAAAUAUUUAUAGGAUUAAGAUGGGCAUGCGUGUCAUUAGUUAGUUGGCGAGGUAACGGCUCACCAAGACCACGAUGACUAGGGGAUCUGAGAGGAUGACCCCCCACACUGGUACUGAGACACGGACCAGACUCCUACGGGAGGCAGCAGUAAGGAAUAUUGGUCAAUGGAGGCAACUCUGAACCAGCCAUGCCGCGUGCAGGAAGACAGCCCUCUGGGUCGUAAACUGCUUUUAUUCGGGAAUAAACCUACUUACGUGUAAGUAGCUGAAUGUACCGAAGGAAUAAGGAUCGGCUAACUCCGUGCCAGCAGCCGCGGUAAUACGGAGGAUCCAAGCGUUAUCCGGAUUUAUUGGGUUUAAAGGGUGCGUAGGCGGCUUAUUAAGUCAGGGGUGAAAGACGGUGGCUCAACCAUCGCAGUGCCCUUGAUACUGAUGAGCUUGAAUACACUAGAGGUAGGCGGAAUGUGACAAGUAGCGGUGAAAUGCAUAGAUAUGUCACAGAACACCGAUUGCGAAGGCAGCUUACUAUGGUGUCAUUGACGCUGAGGCACGAAAGCGUGGGGAUCAAACAGGAUUAGAUACCCUGGUAGUCCACGCCCUAAACGAUGAAUACUCGCUGUUAGCGAUACACAGUUAGCGGCUAAGCGAAAGCGUUAAGUAUUCCACCUGGGGAGUACGCCCGCAAGGGUGAAACUCAAAGGAAUUGACGGGGGCCCGCACAAGCGGAGGAGCAUGUGGUUUAAUUCGAUGAUACGCGAGGAACCUUACCCGGGCUUGAAAGUUAGUGAAUGAGAUAGAGAUAUUUCAGUGAGCAAUCACACGAAACUAGGUGCUGCAUGGCUGUCGUCAGCUCGUGCCGUGAGGUGUUGGGUUAAGUCCCGCAACGAGCGCAACCCCUAUGUUUAGUUGCCAGCACGUUAAGGUGGGGACUCUAAACAGACUGCCUGUGCAAACAGAGAGGAAGGAGGGGACGACGUCAAGUCAUCAUGGCCCUUACGUCCGGGGCUACACACGUGCUACAAUGGAUGGUACAGAGGGCAGCAAGCUGGCAACAGCAAGCAAAUCUCAAAAAGCCAUUCACAGUUCGGAUAGAGGUCUGCAACUCGACCUCUUGAAGUUGGAUUCGCUAGUAAUCGCGUAUCAGCAAUGACGCGGUGAAUACGUUCCCGGGCCUUGUACACACCGCCCGUCAAGCCAUGGAAGUUGGGGGUACCUAAAGUAUGUAA